UACGGAGGAUCCAAGCGUUAUCCGGAUUCAUUGGGUUUAAAGGGUGCGUAGGCGGAAUGAUAAGUCAGUGGUGAAAGCCCUCAGCUUAACUGAGGAACUGCCAUUGAUACUGUCAAUCUUGAGUACAUUUGAUGUGGGCGGAAUGUGUCAUGUAGCGGUGAAAUGCUUAGAUAUGACACAGAACACCGAUUGCGAAGGCAGCUUACUACACAAUUAUUGACGCUGAGGCACGAAAGCGUGGGGAUCAAACAGG
rnacentral:rRNA from 1 species